AAAUUGAAGAGUUUGAUCAUGGCUCAGAUUGAACGCUGGCGGCAGGCCUAACACAUGCAAGUCGAACGGUAGCACAGAGAGCUUGCUCUCGGGUGACGAGUGGCGGACGGGUGAGUAAUGUCUGGGAAACUGCCUGAUGGAGGGGGAUAACUACUGGAAACGGUGGCUAAUACCGCAUAACGUCGCAAGACCAAAGAGGG
rnacentral:rRNA from 3 species